GGAAGCUGUCUCUUCAGACUUUUCCAGCACCACAUGAGAAAUCAAAGUCUUUGGGUUCCGGGGGGAGUAUGGUCGCAAGGCUGAAACUUAAAGGAAUUGACGGAAGGGCACCACCAGGAACGUGUCCUGUUGUUUAAUUUGACUCUUGACGGCAAAAUUUACAGCGCCCGGAUUUGAGAAUGAUGACAGUCUGAUAGCUCGGUCUUGAAAUAUGGGUGGUGGCCCAUGUCCGUUCUUAUUUGCUUGCCGAAUUUAAAAAUUUGUUGAUGUUAAGCACAAUAAACUAACUUCUUUGAUAUUUGAAAACCUAGGAGGGGU
rnacentral:rRNA from 1 species